GCGGGGGUGCCGUAGCCUGGCCAAUCGGGGCAGGUUCAGGACCUGCUGGCGUAGGCCUUCGUGGGUUCAAAUCCCACCCCCCGCACCA
rnacentral:tRNA from 1 species